CCUGACUCUGCCAUGGGCACCAGGCUGCUCUGCUGCCUGAUGCUCUGUCUCCUGGGAGCAGGUCACACAGACACUGGAGUCUCCCAGUCCCCCAGGCACAGAGUCACACAGUAUGGAGAGGAUGUAGCUUUCAGGUGUGAUCCAAUUUCUGAACACACCCGCCUUUACUGGUACCGACAGACAUCGGGGCAGAAUAUGGAGUUUCUGACUUAUUUUCAGAAUGAUUUUGCAUCAGACACAUCAGGGAUGCCUAGUGAUCAGUUCUCUGCUGAGAGACCCAAGGGAUCCUACUCCACUCUGAAGAUCCAGCGCGCAGAGCAGAGGGACUCAGCCGUGUAUCUCUGUGCCAGCAGCUUAGCCACAGCGUGGCACAGUCACUUCCUUCCUCUCCACAAACCCUCAUAA